rnacentral:rRNA from 1 species
UGGGGAAUAUUGCACAAUGGGCGCAAGCCUGAUGCAGCCAUGCCGCGUGUAUGAAGAAGGCCUCCGGGUUGUAAAGUACUUUCAGCGGGGAGGAAGGCGAUAAGGUUAAUAACCUUGUCGAUUGACGUUACCCGCAGAAGAAGCACCGGCUAACUCCGUGCCAGCAGCCGCGGUAAUACGGAGGGUGCAAGCGUUAAUCGGAAUUACUGGGCGUAAAGCGCACGCAGGCGGUCUGUCAAGUCGGAUGUGAAAUCCCCGGGCUCAACCUGGGAACUGCAUUCGAAACUGGCAGGCUAGAGUCUUGUAGAGGGGGGUAGAAUUCCAGGUGUAGCGGUGAAAUGCGUAGAGAUCUGGAGGAAUACCGGUGGCGAAGGCGGCCCCCUGGACAAAGACUGACGCUCAGGUGCGAAAGCGUGGGGAGCAAACA